GGGCGUGUGGUCUAGUGGUAUGACGUCGGCUUCGCAUUCCUCAUCGUGCGUCUGCUGAAGGUCCGGAGUUCGAUUCUCCGUUCGUCCA
rnacentral:tRNA from 1 species